AGAGUUGGUCGGGUGACGGCUGUUCUGGCUUCGGCUGGGAUGGAGGAAAGUCCGGACUUCAUAGGGCGCGGUGCCUGGCGCAAGCCAGGGCGGGGUAACCCGACGGAAAGUGCAACAGAAAGCAGACCGCCAGCAAUGGCAAGGGUGAAACGGUGGUGUAAGAGACCACCAGCGUCCGGGGUGACUCGGACGGCUUGGCAAACCCCACCGGAAGCAAGGCCAAAUAGGGAGGGGGUGAAGCUGCCCGCAGACCCUCCGGGUAGGCCGCAUUAGUCAAAUCGUCACACAAAUACAGAAUCCGGCUUAUAGACCAACUCUCACU
rnacentral:RNase_P_RNA from 1 species